GGAGCUGUAGCUUAGAGGAAGAGCACACGCCUGGCAUGCAUGGCACCCUGGGUUCUAGCCCCAGCACUGCCA
rnacentral:tRNA from 1 species